CACGGGGGGAGCAAGCGUUGUUCGGAAUCACUGGGCGUAAAGAGCGUGUAGGCGGUCCGGUAAGUCAGCUGUGAAAGUCAAGGGCUCAACCCUUGAAAGCCGGUUGAUACUGUCGGGCUAGAGUCCGGAAGAGGCGAGUGGAAUUCCCGGUGUAGCGGUGAAAUGCGCAGAUAUCGGGAGGAACACCAAUGGCGAAGGCAGCUCGCUGGGACGGUACUGACGCUGAGACGCGAAAGCGUGGGGAGCAAACAGG
rnacentral:rRNA from 1 species